GAAAAGAAAUAAGGGUGUGUCCACUCCACAGAAAGAAAUGCCGCACCAGCAGAGCAGCUGUGGAGACACUGCAGCGUCCUGACAGCAUGCCAUAUGUCGAGAGAACGAGAUGGGGACUACACUGUCAUGUUACAUCAUGGAGCUCCAUGGUUACACAAGUUAUUGACCCAGCAAGGAAUGACUUCUCUUUU